UAGGAAAAAAACUAAUUUUCC
rnacentral:piRNA from 1 species